GCCCGGAUGGCGGAAUUGGCAGACGCAACGGACUCAAAAUCCGUCGGUAGCGAUACCGUGUGGGUUCGACCCCCACUCUGGGCACCA
rnacentral:tRNA from 1 species